rnacentral:rRNA from 1 species
GUCUAUGGCCAUAUUACCCUGAAUGCACCCGAUGUCGUCUGAUCUUGGAAGGGCUGGGAACAGUGGGGGACUUAUACAGUGACAGCUGAAGGGU